rnacentral:rRNA from 1 species
UCGCUACUACCGAUUGAAUGAUUUAGUGAGUUUCACGGAUUGGACAUCUUGGUUGGGCUUCCUUCCUUGAUGACCGAGAAGUGCCGCAAACUGAACCAUUUAGAGGAAGUAA